rnacentral:rRNA from 1 species
UGGGGAAUCUUCCGCAAUGGACGUAAGUCUGACGGAGCAACGCCGCGUGAGUGAAGACGGCCUUCGGGUUGUAAAGCUCUGUUAUUCGGGAAGAACGAUUCGUUUGUGAACUAUGAACGGAAGUGACGGUACCGAAAGAGAAAGCCACGGCUAACUACGUGCCAGCAGCCGCGGUAAUACGUAGGUGGCAAGCGUUGUCCGGAAUUAUUGGGCGUAAAGAGCGCGUAGGCGGUAUGGUAAGUCUGUCUUAGAAGUGCGGGGCUUAACCCCGUGAGGGGACAGAGACUGUCAUACUGGAGUCUCGGAGAGGAAAGCGGAAUUCCUAGUGUAGCGGUGAAAUGCGUAGAGAUUAGGAAGAACACCGGUGGCGAAGGCGGCUUUCUGGACGAGCACUGACGCUGAGGCGCGAAAGCGUGGGGAGCGAACAGG